UAGUACUUCGCGUUGUGGCCGCGACAACCCAGGUUCGAAUCCUGGUCUCGGCACCAUUUGUAGGCGUAUUGCCUAUUGCACACCUGACCCAGGUUCUGGCUUGGGCUUUCGGUAGUUCAAGAAUAACGAAAUUCACAUAAACAUUUCUCUAAAGUUUAUUCUCCAGUAAUAUACUGAGUAAGUAUAACAAUAUACAAGUCGCUGGGACAAACACGCACAUACUACGGACAAACUUACAUGGUGACAUAUAACAUGGGGCCAGCUCCCGGCUUUUCCCCUACAAUGAAUAUAUAAUAUAAUACACAGGCACGUACCUUACAGCCCCCACCCAGACAACACGUUGACAGACACCGACGGACUAACGAAACACACGUGCACACGAUAUAAAUACCCUACAACGGGCCAAUCAGUGGCGCCGAACCAACAACACACAAACUCAGAUACACUCAACCAAUCACACGACAACUAACACUCGACAGAAACAUUCGCGUACAUACAACAUGGCAGACUACAGACUUCCCAGCGACUGUAAACAAUAAAGGUAUUUACAUAUACAUAUAAUACCAUCCCAUUCUCACAUCGUACACAUACACAAUAUAUACAACAAUCGAGUGACACUUGCAUAGUUUUCGCAUACACCUUACACCAGUCGACAGGCCUAUCCACACACAUACGCACAUCUAUACCAGACUUCCACACCAUUGUACUUUACUUUGUUUGUAUUUCGCGCUUAAAGACGUGUACGUGAACCGGAUGUGUGACCGGAUUUAUGACAAAGGACAUUCCAGAACGUGCGGUGUAAACACGUCAAGAUGCAGGUGUAGCGGCACAACACCGCGGCUAUUUACUCAUUUAUUGGACAUAAAUACGCAAACUACAGCUUGCGUUUAAACCAUUGGUAAGGAUAUACCAUAAUGUGGUGUGGAUGAUCCUGGAAGGACCAUGGUCAGAACAGAGUCCUGACAGGGACAUAUGCCAUACUGAUGUGUGGUGGAGCGAGGUGGCCUGGGUACUGUGGUUGCGAUUCAUGAGGAACACAGCCAGAACCUUGAUGGACAGCCAUGAGUGGUAUUCUUUGCUGGCAAUAUAUAACUGUUCGUGAUGAGGCUUGAUGGUGCCCGUCUUGUGGAGAGAACUGGGUUUCUUGUUGACACUCCAUGGUGGAAAUCUGCCCACCAGUGUAGACUACAUGUGUAUUUAGGUGACCUCAUAGACAGUGAUGGAAAUCUGCCCAUUCCUAGAGUGAACCAUUUAUUUGUGAUAUAUGUUCUUAUUAAAUGCGUGAAAGUGAGUGUGGAUGUGCAAUUGUUCAUAGUGUAUAGUGUAAUUAAAUGUUGUAAAUAAUGUAAA